rnacentral:rRNA from 1 species
CUAGCUCAGUAACACGUAGCUAAUCUACCCUUAAGUCAAGGAUAACCUCGAGAAACUGAGGAUAAUACUUGAUAGGAGACAUACCCUAGGAAAGAUUUGUCUUUUAAAUUCGAGCUUAAGGAUGAGGCUGCGGCGGAUUAGGCUGUUGGCGGGGUAAAAGCCCACCAAACCGAUGAUCCGUAAGGGCUCUUAGCGGAGAGGCCCUGAGAGGGAAUCUGAGACACUAUUCCCAGCCCUACGGGGUGCAGCAGGUAGGAAUCUUUUGCAAUGCGCGCAAGCGUGACAAAGCGAGCCAGAGUGCUUUUCAAUUGAAAAGCUUUUGCUAAAUCUAAAAAUUUUGGCGAAUAAGGACUGGGUAAGACUAGUGCCAGCCGCCGCGGUAAUCCUAGCGGUCCAAGUCGCAGCCAUCAUUAUUGGGUCUAAAACAUCCGUAGCUUGCUUAAUAAGUUCCCUGUGAAAUCUUAACUCUUAAGGUUAAGGCGUGCGGGGAAUACUGCUAAGCUAGAGACUGGAAGACGUAAGAAGUAUGUUCAAAGUAGCGGUAAAAUGUGUUAAUCUUGAGCAGACUCACAACAGCGAAGGCAUCUUACGAGGACAGUUCUGACAGUAAAGGAUGAAGGCUAGGGGCGCGAAGUGGAUUAGAUACCCAUGUAGUCCUAGCAGUAAGCACUGCGCACUAAACAUUAGUACCUCCUCGAGAGGUAUUGGUGCUGAAGAGAAGUCGAAGAGUGCGCUACCUGGGAAGUAUAGCCGCAAGGCCGAAACUUAAAGGAAUUGGCGGGGGAGCAC